rnacentral:lncRNA from 1 species
GGCUGUUGGGCUACAUCUGGUAAGGGCAAGGAUUUAUGGCUGAGGUUAACUGCACUCCUCGUGUUGCUUUUGUCUUCUAGGGCAGUGGUCGCCAACCUUGGGCCUCCAGAUGUUCUUGGACUACAACUCCCAGAAGCCUUCACCAUAAUAUCUGCUGGCCAGGAUUUCUGGGAGUUGAAGUCCAAGAACAUCUGGAAGCUCCAGGUUGGGGACCACUGUUCUAGGGGUUUCCCUACUCCUCAAACUGAUGGGCUCAAACUUAACCACUUCCUUCCCACUAUUCAGGUUACUCCUUCUCUUGUGGAAGCAGAUCUGUGGAGGCACUCAGCUCAAAUGAGGAAUGGGAAGGAGGGACCCCGAAAAGUUAAGACUCUUCACUGUUACAGAGUUCCAAAAUUAACCACAGAGAUGACACACAGGCCUUUUCCGUCCAUCACCUGUGUUAGCAGCAAAGGCCUGGGCGGCAAAAAGGGACCCCAGAUGCUUUCUACUGACUUCCACCCAUCGAUGCAGCUUCAGUGAUCCAGAAACAGAAAGCAUCUUGAGAUGGACUCUGGCCAUUUGGUGAUUUCCUUCAGGCUCAUAAAAUCAAGUAAAAUCUCUGUACUUUGCUAAGUAGAACCUGCCUAUUUUUUUCACAAGGUGGGCACGUACCUACAGCCUAAGCCCCUACGGUUCUGGAGACAUCUGGGGCCUCUUCCUGCUGCUGUUCCAGCAAGAACCUCAUGUGAGAAAGCAUUGUACAUUUGUCACUAAAACUAAUAUGCAAUUCUAUUUCUGCACGUGUUUUUAAAAUGAGAAAGAUGGUGCCCUACAGAAGGUGUACAACAUAAGAAAUCUAAACGUAUAACACAGAGCUACCUUACUUGGAGAACCGGGAUACCUCUGGCACACCAUAUUUUGGAUUCCCAUCAUCCGGGACAACCUGAACAGGCAGUCUGGGGCUGAUAGGAAGUCUUCACCUCUGCCUUACUGACAGAAGGAGAUGCGUGUGGUGGGCUGACGAACUUUACAGAUACUUGGGUAAAGCCAACUGGCGCUUUCCUGCAUCUGUAGACGGUGGCCACUAAAUUCACAGCUGCGUUUUGGUGAUAACCAGCUCUGAAAGGAUUACCAGAAGUCGUUAUAUAAUCCCUUUGUGAACCCUGUAUUGAAAGAGACUAGGCAGAGUGCACAGAUUCUUCGGGGAGGGGGGGAUUAAAACAGGGUGUCCUCUCUUUAUUCAGAAUGCACUCUGCCUCUUUUGCACACCCUGCUGAAAUGAGAAAGGGUUCAUUCAGCAGAAGUUCCACGAAUGCUCCGCUCACUGGUGGGUUGUGUAGGAAAUUUAUUUGCCCUAAAAAAUGCUUUUUUCAAAGAGAAUGCAUGUAAAAUAUAGCUACUGCCUGCCAGAUCUGGCAAAGCGGAUCCACUGACAAAAAUAGUUAUGCUGAUGUUUUCUUUCUUCACCCCACCUCAUACUUUUGAACAUUUGAGGAACUUGCUUGUUAAGAGAAAAUAUUUAAUUGAAUGACGUCAUCGUCGCCCGUAUCCCUGUCUGCAUGCUUAUAUGGGUGGAUCGAUUCCUGAUGGCGCUGGAGCUUAACAAGAACUAGAAUUACACUUAGAGGAAACAGUACCACCCGUUUAAGGAAAAUAAAAAUAAAAAAUGUGGCA